rnacentral:rRNA from 1 species
UAGGGAAUCUUCCGCAAUGGACGAAAGUCUGACGGAGCAACGCCGCGUGAGUGAAGAAGGAUUUCGGUUCGUAAAACUCUGUUGUUAGGAAGAAAAAAUGUAUAGUAACUAUAUACAAAAGAGACGGUACCUAACCAGAAAGCCACGGCUAACUACGUGCCAGCAGCCGCGGUAAUACGUAGGUGGCAAGCGUUGUCCGGAAUUAUUGGGCGUAAAGCGCGCGCAGGUGGUUUAGAAAGUCUGAUGUGAAAGCCCACGGCUCAACCGUGGAGGGUCAUUGGAAACUAAUAAACUUGAGUGCAGGAGAGAAAAGUGGAAUUCCUAGUGUAGCGGUGAAAUGCGUAGAGAUUAGGAGGAACACCGGUGGCGAAAGCGGCUUUUUGGCCUGCAACUGACACUGAGGCGCGAAAGCGUGGGGAGCAAACAGG